rnacentral:lncRNA from 1 species
AGUAAAGGACAAUGAUACAAGUCACUUUGGUAUCCUUCUUUCUUGUUGUUCACAUAAUAAGCAUUGGUGCUUUGACACCAUAUGUUAAACCAUGGACAGAAGAGUGUGCAAGUGGUAUGUUAAUAAAUGUUUUAACAUUUUAUAAUUUUAUUUAAUAAAACUUAGUCUUAAAGUCGUAUAGCAUUGAUUUGGUAAUCUUUUACUAAAUUUCAAAUUAAUGUCCAGAUUUUCAGUGUUCCGACUUAUGUUUAUUAUAACCUAUAACAUAUAUUCGAGCUGAUAUUUUAGAAUUUUUGUCGUUUUUUAAUUCCCAAAAUUGGAUCAGUUGUUAUAUUCGCAUAUUUUUAUCGUAAGAAUACCUGGAAAUAUAAACAAGGCUGUCUUAGAGUGAAAAACUGAAAACAUGCAUGUUAUAAACCAUUAUAUUUUUCUGGUUCCAUAUGCAGAUUUUUAAAUAUUUCAAAUUCAUGUCUUAACUGAUUGGUUUACUGGAACAAAAUAAAUCUAAACUACUGAACAGCCUUGCCAUAAACGCGACUCAGCUCCCAGGGGAUCUUGUGUUCUCUUGUUUCCGUUCCCCACAAAAAUUUCACCAUUGCAUGUUCCCUUAAGCCCGGCGCACACUAGAGCUAUGUGCUUAGCAAAAUGUCAUUCGUGACUGUUGGCGUAAAGGCAAUUUUCCAUUUCAGUCGCUUUGCCCGCGCGGGCGGAGCGAAAAUUACUCAACUUUCUCUGUAGUUGUCUAAUCUGUUCAUUUUAUGUCUGUCUGACUACUCGUGGACACGCCAUGAAAGUAGAACUACGUUCAACUUUCUUGGUGAGCCCGCGCGACUGAUUUUUCACGUGAUUAAAAUUGGUCGCUCAACCCGCGCGGGCAAAGCGACCGUUAAUGGAAAAUAGCCUUAAGGAGAUAGCUCUCGUGUGUGGGCGAUUUACGAACGACUCGACUUUUGUCGUUCGUGCCACUUACGGCAAAUAUCUAACAUAUUUGAUAAUUUCUUCCUAGCGUGCCAAAAUCUUUCCAUGUGCGGCGAACGAAAGCUAUCUGCUUGCAGAUUGUCGUAACAGCGCAUGCGUAGUAUACGAAAGUAAACAUCCAAGAUGGCGGCGCACAAUGAAUUGCAUGCUGGCUGAGGCAAUUUUAAAAGACAAACUUGUCGUGAUAAUGCUGUUCCAACAACUUGUCUACAAGCUUGCUACAAGCCUGUUGAAAACAUAUCUUGUAGACAAGGUGUUGGAACAGCAUUAUCACGACAAGUUUGUCUUCUAAAAUUGACUCAGCCAGCAAUUCAUUAUGCGCCGCCAUCUUGGAUGUUUACUUUCGUACACUACGCAUGCGCUGUUACGACAAUCCGUAACAGAUAGCUUUCGUUCGCGCACAUGGAAAGAUUUUGGCACGCGAGGUAGAAAUUAUCAAACAUGUUAGAUAUUUGCCAUAAGUGGCACGAAUGACAAAAGUCGCUCGUAAUUAAAUCGCCCGCACACGAGAGCUAUCUUCUUACGCCAUUGGGCACGUGUGACAUUUGGCUGAGCACAUAGCUCCAGUGUGCGCAGCCUCAUAGUACCCUAUGAUUUUCCGCUUUGUUUCCGUGUUCUCAUAGACGGUAAUCUGACUUCAGAUUACCACUUAGGUCACGGAAAACGUCGGGACCGAAAAUGGUGUAAGUGGCAGGGAAAGAGGACGUAUAUACAGUGUACGGUAGCUAGUGAUCGAGAAUAUACAUGGAAGGAGACAAUUAAGGCGAUGGAGACCUAAGUAGUCAUACAAAUUUAUAAAAGCUAUCCACUAUAUGCAGGCAUCCAUACAGGAAGUCGAAUAUAGACCCACUGCACUGACGUCACAAAUCCUUAGAGUGUCCUCCAGAUGCUCCCUAACAAUAUCUGUCCGGGUACAACAACCACAUACAUAGCAAAAAUUAACCAUUUUAAAACAAAAUUAUUAUAAACUUUUACAAAAGUUGCUUUGUUUACAAAAGUUAUAUUAUGCAUACAUUGAUAAUUUGUCCUCCAGAUGCAUCGUCACCGGCGCUGUGACGUCAUGUGCAAUGAGUCUAUAGUUAACAAGCUACUGAGCUCUCUAUAUAUCCUCUUAUUUUCAAAUCAACACUUUAGGUCAUUCUAUAUAUCGUGUGAGAAGUAUUCACAACAAACGUCAUUGGGACCGCAUCUGGUCUUUCAGUUGCCGUUAUAAUAGCAUAGUACGGGGAGCCUGCAAAUGGUCUGGAUAUGUGAAUCAUUUCGACCAGGAAAUCUUAUACCAAUGCCGAUAUGGAGUUAUCACAGGUCAAUAUAUUUUGAAUUUGUUCUGUAUAAUACCAACUGUACGUAACAAUAAUAAAAACAGCAACAACAAUGUUAUAAGUCAGUAACAGUAUCAGAAACAGUAACAGUAACCGCAACAGCAACGGUACUAAUUACUAUAUGUUUACUAUAGAAGUUACUAUAUACGCAAGGGGAAAUGCUGCCGUGUGCCCAUAUAAUUAAUUAUAGCAAAGAAAUAUCAAGAGAAAGGUUUCUUGUUUUUACAACAUAAUCUUUAUACGAUAUUCUGCGCCGAAAUAUUUGGGUAUGACAAAAUCUGCAAAACAACGUUAACUCUGCAAAAUGGCUUAAAAUGCCAUUUCAGAUGGUCUACUGCUACUAUAUAUUAUACAAAUAUUGAAUGUUUAUGAGUGCAAUGGUAAGAAUAUUUUCAUGAGGUGAAAGAUGGAAUGUUCCAUUCACCGAGGCGACAGCCGAGUUGAAUGGAACAUUCCAUCUUUCACCGAAUGAAAAUAUUCUUACCAUUGCACGAAGAAACAUUCAUUAUUUGUUUUAUAUAAUACCAAAAUAGACUAAUAGAUUCGUAUGAGAAGCAUUUUGAGGGAUGCGAUUUAUCGAAAACACAAAGAGUGCAAUUGUACUAUACGUUUUUUUUCCAUUGCACUCCCGGAGAGUGCAAUGGAACGUGUUCCAUUGCACUUUUGGGAAAUGGAAUUUUCUAUUCAAUAUCACGUGACCAUAAACAGCCAAUUAAACGAUUAGAAUUUUAUAAGGUAUUAUAUAAAGCCUAAUAUCAGCAACACUAACACUAACACUAUAACACUAUAACACUAUAACACUAUAACACUAUAACACUAUAACACUAUUACACUAUAACACUAUUACACUAUAACACUAUAACACUAUAACACGAUAACACUAUAACACUAUAACACUAUAACACUAUAACACUAUAACACUAUAACACUAUAACACUAUUAAUAACACUAUAACACUAUAACACUAUUACAUUAUAACACUAUAACACUAUAACACUAUAUAACACUGUUACACUAUAACACUAUUACACUAUAACACUAUAACACUAUAACACCAUAACACUAUAACACUAUAACACUAUAACACUAUAACACUAUAACUCUAUAACACUAUAACACUAUAACACUAUAACACUAUAACACUAACACUAUAGCACUAAUACUAUAACACUAACGCUAUAACACUAACGCUAUAACACUAUAACACUAUAACACUAUAACACUAACAUUAACAGUAAAAGUUGACAACUCGAACGUUGAAAUAAACAGUAAAACUAUAAUAGUAAGAGUUUAAUUAUAAAGGUGGAACUUGGUAAGGCGGUGUUAAUUUCAUUAUUUUCAAUUAAUAAGGUGUACACUCGACAUUCGCCAAAAGUAAAGGAGACAGAAGAUUUAGUUUCAAAUGCUGCCAAACUACAUAUAACUACCAAUAUGGUUGUGUUUGGACUGGCAAUAUAAAUGGCUGGAAUGGUUAUAUGGACUACAAAGUGCCGGGUGGAUAUUUUCUAACUGGAGCAAAAAGUUAUCAUGACAACGGAAAAGAGUAAGUUUAUGAAAUAUUUACUUCGGUUUCUUUGAUCGGCUGUUUAUGCAAUUGUCAUGUCUUUAUAACUUAAAAAUGAUAGAUUUUUACACACUGAAGAUUUUCUAUUUAUUCCCGAUAAAAUCACACUCAAAGAUGCAACAGACCUGUUUAUUUGUAUACGAUACACGACAGUGGCGGAUCUAGGAUUUUUCAAACAUAGAGUCUCUGAAAUGCGAUUUAAAGCGUUUUAGCGGUGAGAUUUUGCAGAAUUCCAAAGAUUAUAGCCGCAUUUACACGACAUGAUUUUUUGGCACGGCCCGCUUAAAUUUUGGCCCGCGGACCUGUAUUUCUGGCCCGCCAAUUUGCGUUUACACACAAUUAUUUUGCUUGGAUGCCGGGCCAUAAAUUUAUAACGAGUACCCCUAAACUUUUUCUGGAACCCUAGCGCCCUCAGUACAAAUGUAAGCGGUAGCUCUCUAAACUGAAUACUAAUUAAUUUGCGCGGGAUAUUUCAAAUAUGGCGGUAAACAGCGAAAGCUUAAAACUCCUAAAGCAAAUGAUUAUUAGAUGGUCUCUCCAAAGGAGUAAAAGAAAGAAAAAUGUUUCAUUAUUAAGUCGUGAGACCACUGUUAAACUCCCGAAUUGGAUUAAAGAAAGGCGAAGGAAAUGUUUUGUUGAAGCUGUCUUAUAGCUGUCUUGUGUCGCCCACGAAACCGGUUGUUGUGGAAGCAUCCGAGAUCGUUCGUAUGGAUCGAAAUGGUCGAGCAAACAUACGAUGACGAAUUAUUAAUAUUACUUGCCUAAUGCUUGUGGUAUUAUGAUUAACUCUAUUAAUAAAUUCAAAAUGUUCCGCGAAUUUAUCAUAAUGAUAAAUUCGGACGUGUUUAAGAAUUUACUCAUAAUAUUAUAGUAAAUUGCUGAAAAAGCAAAUCCGCCCGUUUACUAGACAAAACUAGAAAAGAGUUACACAAAAUUUUCGAGCAAUUUGACCUGAAAAUCACGCCGAAGUAAAUUUGAACGUUGUAAAUUUUUUUUGGAUGUUACUUUCGACCUGAACAACGCAAAACACAAACCAUACAGGAAACCCAAUGACGAUCCAUUGUACAUCAACAGACAUUCAAACCAUCAACUUCGAUGUUUAUGCCUAAUUGAAUGUCUUCGGCAUUUAUAUCACUUAUUUACUGAGACCGAGGGAACAGUGUGUUUUGUGGACCGAGGCCACAAAUCGAGGGUGCAAAAAACACACUGCUUUCCCGAGGUCUCAGUAAAUAAGUGUUUUAUUAUAUAUCGAAACAACAAAUUAAAGAACAAAUGAACGUAAAUACAUGAAAUAUUUUAUUGUUAAAACGUUAAAAUAAACACUGCAGUUACCUAAAGCGAAAGUUUAAAUUACUAGGCAUGUCCAAAGGACGCAUCUUCACGUGAUGACGCACGUGAUUUUUUUUCGUUAUUCGCCGGUCGAAAACGUAUUGUUUCCUUCUGUUGGGAGGGAGACAGUCUAAUUUCGUCACUCUCACGUGAUAUGCUCUCGACCAAUAAAACACUAGAAAAAUGCGACUUUGACUGUUGGUAUAUAAUAAAAACAUUUAACUGUCUUCGGCAUAAAGAUUCAACUUCGAUGGUUAUGCCGUUGAAUGUCUUCAGCUUGGACAGUUAUGACGUUGAAUGUCUUCAACUUGGAUAGUUAUGCUGUUGAAUUUCUUUGGCACAACCAUUCAACUUGAAGACAGAUUUUACAAAACGGAACUUUCGAAACAUAUUUGGAAAUUGAAAGAAAACAAUCAGGAUUAUACCAUCAAAUGGUCAAUUUCAAAACACGCCAUUUCGUACACAGGGGGUCAAAACGCUGCUAUUUAUGUUUGGAAGAAAAAUUUUGCAUUUUGAAAGACAUAAACCACUCCCCUUGCAGACAAAACCGUUGUAUUUUCCGAAUAUAAAGUAGUUGUUGUGGUAACACGAUAAUUUUGUUACGAAUAUUUUUACAAAUGCAAAAUCCCCUAAAAAUAUAUUACUUUUAAUUACAAAAUUAGCUUAUCAAUUCCCCAAACAUAUAUAUGUUACGUAUGUUAUUAUCCCGAAUAUAAGCUUUAAUUUAAGGUAAAAUUCAACCUUAAACGCUUCGCGAGACGUUUUAAAAUGUACUUUAUAAAACCAUGGAUAAUAAAAUAAAUAUAUUAUUAUCCAUGAUAAAACUAAACUGCCUUUAUCGAAAAACCUUGAGUUUGGAAUAAAAUGAUUCAAAUUCUCGUAUUCAAAUAACUUUGCUUUCUUUUUUUUUUUAAAUUUUAAGGAUAAUCGAUUUAAAAAAGGAUAAUCUAUAAAGAAAAACUGAAAUUAUAUGCUGUCUUUUUUCAUUUAGAAAUAGGCAACGAACAUCUUUUAAAGCAAUUAUAAAGCAAACAAAACAUCAAUAUUUAUUACAAACCUACCUCCGUUAACGAUUAUUGAUGAACUUCAGACAUCGCUAGUGCUUUCGUUUUCCCGGUUGUAAAUAGCCGGGCGGAAUUAGUACCCUAGCCCGGGCUUACGCCCGGAACGGCGCUCCGUUGGCUCGGGGACAAAGAGAUGCCUGCGUUUAUUAGAUUUAAUACUUGGCCAUAGAGUUUGGGUUAGUUUAAUGCAUUUUGGCUUUAUCAAUAGCCCCCUCUUUGCCCCUCCCCCGGCCUUGUAUGCUUGUGGCACUAGAGGUCUCCAGUAGAAAUUACAAAAUUGUAGGUGUAUUGGUAUACUCAAAAAGGAAUGAUAUGUGUCAACUCAGUUUAUGUCUCAGUUCUUUUGUCACUAUGUACCUUCACAUUGUUUGAAAUGAUCAUGAGAUCUUAUCCCUCCCCCCCCCCCCCCCUAGUCUUAGACAAAUAAUAUGAUUUAUGGUCCCUUAAUUAUCAAAACACAGUGCCUUGUCUUUUUACCCACUGAUAUUUUUUCUUCCUGACUUUACAUGUUAAAGUUAUCCUUAAUACUAUAACUAUAAGAGUAGAUGGACUAGGGUAAUUCUAUACUGUGCAUUAAUAUAAAAAACCAAUAUCAGUGUGCUAGGAAAACUAAAAACAACUGUAAUUCAUAUAUAAACCCUAAACUUGCAUGGUAUUUUUCAAAUUAUAAAAUAUGCAUUAUUCAAAUUUUCUUAUAUUUGUUUGAUAUAUUUGACUGUCAAAAAAGUAUGUGACUUACCAUUAUACAACUUCGAAGUAACAACUAUUUGCUGCAAGUCCCCAAUAGUUUGAAUAGUGUGUGUGUGUUGGGGGGGGAGGGGGUGCAGGAAAGCACGGGAGCUAUGCCACGCAGGCAGGCUGUAUUUUAUCUGGUAAUAUUUUUAUAGUGGGGGGGAGCAUGGCCUCCGGCCCCCCAGUUCCGCGGUCUCUGCAUAAGGAUUCGUAUGAGCUUCGUAGAUCUUCGUAUUUGAGGCCAGCGAAAUAACUGCUUCCGUGAUAAAUAUAUAAAUUUAAAAUAUAGGCUAUAUCAUUUGUAAAUUCUGAACGCUGAGAGCCGUGUUGAUGAAACUCAAUGUUAAUACGGAAUUUAUUAUUAUUUAUUUGUGCUAUAUUAUAAAAAUAUAUAAAACAUUUUUCCGUAUUGAUAUACAGUUAUAUUAACACUUGUAGAUGUGAUUAUAUAUAUUAUAUGUGUCUUCAGUGCUGCAUGAAUGAGUGGGCCACGCACUUCUCUUGAAAUCUUUCUUUCCUAUUUUGAUAGGGACAGAAUAUGGAGAUUCUUGAUAUGUCAACAUAAAUGAAGGGUCGUUCAUUAAGGCCAAAGAUCAUCCUUUUUUGCUAUAACUAUGUAAUCUUGAUUUAUUUGUAACGAUCAAUUAAUAAAGUAUGACGCAAUAAAGUCUCUAUCUUUUACAGUUUUUGAUAAAUGC